UGGUGCAAUCUGUUCUUACGAAAGGAUGAUUGGUAGUGAGCUUGCAAAGAAGGUUGCAGCACCAUAUCGAAUUGGAAAGGAUCCUGAUCAAUCCCAUGUGGAUCACCAUUAGAGGGCUUCUACUUUGGAGUCUCAUGGAGGUCUCAAAAUUAUCAGAUCAUAGUCUUCAUGUUGGUAUAUGACUUCUGAUCUCUUCUUGAUAUGUAUGUUUUUGAUUAUUUGAUUGUAAUCAU
rnacentral:lncRNA from 1 species